rnacentral:rRNA from 1 species
UACGUAGGGCGCGAGCGUUGUCCGGAAUUAUUGGGCGUAAAGAGCUCGUAGGCGGCUUGUCGCGUCGGCUGUGAAAACCUGGGGCUCAACCCUGGACCUGCAUUCGAUACGGGCGGACUAGAGUUCGGUAGGGGAGACUGGAAUUCCAGGUGUAGCGGUGAAAUGCGUAGAUAUCUGGAGGAAUACCGGUGGCGAAGGCGGGUCUCUGGGCAGUAACUGACGCUGAGGAGCGAAAGCGUGGGGAGCGAACAGG